UCCUGCGUAGCUCAGUUGGCAGAGCGUUCGACUGUUAAUCGAAUGGUCGCUGGUUCAAGCCCAGCCGCAGGAGCCG
rnacentral:tRNA from 1 species